rnacentral:rRNA from 1 species
GAUGAACGCUGGCGGCGUGCCUAAUACAUGCAAGUCGAGCGAACAGACGAGGAGCUUGCUCCUCUGACGUUAGCGGCGGACGGGUGAGUAACACGUGGAUAACCUACCUAUAAGACUGGGAUAACUUCGGGAAACCGGAGCUAAUACCGGAUAAUAUAUUGAACCGCAUGGUUCAAUAGUGAAAGACGGUUUUGCUGUCACUUAUAGAUGGAUCCGCGCCGCAUUAGCUAGUUGGUAAGGUAACGGCUUACCAAGGCGACGAUGCGUAGCCGACCUGAGAGGGGGAUAGGCCACACUGGAACUGAGACACGGUCCAGACGCCUACGGGAGGCAGCAGUAGGGAAUCUUCCGCAAUGGGCGAAAGCCUGACGGAGCAACGCCGCGUGAGUGAUGAAGGUCUUCGGAUCGUAAAACUCUGUUAUUAGGGAAGAACAAAUGUGUAAGUAACUAUGCACGUCUUGACGGUACCUAAUCAGAAAGCCACGGCUAACUACGUG